rnacentral:rRNA from 1 species
GAUGAACGCUGGCGGCGUGCCUAAUACAUGCAAGUCGAGCGAACAGACGAGGAGCUUGCUCCUCUGACGUUAGCGGCGGACGGGUGAGUAACACGUGGAUAACCUACCUAUAAGACUGGGAUAACUUCGGGAAACCGGAGCUAAUACCGGAUAAUAUAUUGAACCGCAUGGUUCAAUAGUGAAAUACGGUUUUGCUGUCACUUAUAGAUGGAUCCGCGCCGCAUUAGCUAGUUGGUAAGGUAACGGCUUACCAAGGCAACGAUGCGUAGCCGACCUGAGAGGGUGGUCGGCCACACUGGAACUGAGACACGGUCCAGACUCCUACGGGAGGCAGCAGUAGGGAAUCUUCCGCAAUGGGCGAAAGCCUGACGGAGCAACGCCGCGUGAGUGAUAAAGGUCUUCGGAUCGUAAAACUCUGUUAUUAGGGAAGAACAAAUGUGUAAGUAACUAUGCACGUCUUGACGGUAACUAAUCAGAAAGCCACGGCUAACUACGUG